rnacentral:rRNA from 1 species
GGUUAAGCGACUAAGCGUACACGGUGGAUGCCCUGGCAGUCAGAGGCGAUGAAGGGCGUGCUAAUCUGCGAUAAGCGCCGGUAAGGUGAUAUGAACCGUUAUAACCGGCGAUACCCGAAUGGGGAAACCCAGUGUGACUCGUCACACUAUCAUUAACUGAAUCCAUAGGUUAAUGAGGCGAACCGGGGGAACUGAAACAUCUAAGUACCCCGAGGAAAAGAAAUCAACCGAGAUUCCCCCAGUAGCGGCGAGCGAACGGGGAGGAGCCCAGAGCCUGAAUCAGCAUGUGUGUUAGUGGAAGCGUCUGGAAAGGCGCGCGAUACAGGGUGACAGCCCCGUACACAAAAGCGCAUGUGCUGUGAGCUCGAUGAGUAGGGCGGGACACGUGGUAUCCUGUCUGAAUAUGGGGGGACCAUCCUCCAAGGCUAAAUACUCCUGACUGACCGAUAGUGAACCAGUACCGUGAGGGAAAGGCGAAAAGAACCCCGGCGAGGGGAGUGAAAAAGAACCUGAAACCGUGUACGUACAAGCAGUGGGAGCACCCUUUGGGGUGUGACUGCGUACCUUUUGUAUAAUGGGUCAGCGACUUAUAUUCUGUAGCAAGGUUAACCGAAUAGGGGAGCCGGAGGGAAACCGAGUCUUAAUUGGGCGUUAAGUUGCAGGGUAUAGACCCGAAACCCGGUGAUCUAGCCAUGGGCAGGUUGAAGGUUGGGUAACACUAACUGGAGGACCGAACCGACUAAUGUUGAAAAAUUAGCGGAUGACCUGUGGCUGGGGGUGAAAGGCCAAUCAAACCGGGAGAUAGCUGGUUCUCCCCGAAAGCUAUUUAGGUAGCGCCUCGUGAAUUCAUCUCCGGGGGUAGAGCACUGUUUCGGCUAGGGGGCCAUCCCGGCUUACCAACCCGAUGCAAACUGCGAAUACCGGAGAAUGUUAUCACGGGAGACACACGGCGGGUGCUAACGUCCGUCGUGAAGAGGGAAACAACCCAGACCGCCAGCUAAGGUCCCAAAGUCAUGGUUAAGUGGGAAACGAUGUGGGAAGGCCCAGACAGCCAGGAUGUUGGCUUAGAAGCAGCCAUCAUUUAAAGAAAGCGUAAUAGCUCACUGGUCGAGUCGGCCUGCGCGGAAGAUGUAACGGGGCUAAACCAUGCACCGAAGCUGCGGCAGCGAACGUAUCACUUAAAGCGAUUCAGCGGGUUACGAUUGACGGAGCGAAGCGACGUCAAAGCGUAUACAAAGUCGAGUCGGUUUAAGGAUACGUUCGUUGGGUAGGGGAGCGUUCUGUAAGCCUGUGAAGGUGGCCUGUGAGGGUUGCUGGAGGUAUCAGAAGUGCGAAUGCUGACAUAAGUAACGAUAAAGCGGGUGAAAAGCCCGCUCGCCGGAAGACCAAGGGUUCCUGUCCAACGUUAAUCGGGGCAGGGUGAGUCGACCCCUAAGGCGAGGCCGAAAGGCGUAGUCGAUGGGAAACAGGUUAAUAUUCCCGUACUUGGUGUUACUGCGAAGGGGGGACGGAGAAGGCUAUGUUGGCCGGGCGACGGUUGUCCCGGUUUAAGCGUGUAGGUGUGUGUUCCAGGUAAAUCCGGUUCACUUUAACACUGAGGCGUGAUGACGAGGCACUACGGUGCUGAAGCAACAAAUGCCCUGCUUCCAGGAAAAGCCUCUAAGCAUCAGGUAACAUCAAAUCGUACCCCAAACCGACACAGGUGGUCAGGUAGAGAAUACCAAGGCGCUUGAGAGAACUCGGGUGAAGGAACUAGGCAAAAUGGUGCCGUAACUUCGGGAGAGAAGGCACGCUGACACGUAGGUGAAGUGAUUUACUCAUGGAGCUGAAGUCAGUCGAAGAUACCAGCUGGCUGCAACUGUUUAUUAAAAACACAGCACUGUGCAAACACGAAAGUGGACGUAUACGGUGUGACGCCUGCCCGGUGCCGGAAGGUUAAUUGAUGGGGUCAGCGCAAGCGAAGCUCCUGAUCGAAGCCCCGGUAAACGGCGGCCGUAACUAUAACGGUCCUAAGGUAGCGAAAUUCCUUGUCGGGUAAGUUCCGACCUGCACGAAUGGCGUAAUGAUGGCCAGGCUGUCUCCACCCGAGACUCAGUGAAAUUGAACUCGCUGUGAAGAUGCAGUGUACCCGCGGCAAGACGGAAAGACCCCGUGAACCUUUACUAUAGCUUGACACUGAACAUUGAGCCUUGAUGUGUAGGAUAGGUGGGAGGCUUUGAAGUGUGGACGCCAGUCUGCAUGGAGCCGACCUUGAAAUACCACCCUUUAAUGUUUGAUGUUUGAUGUCCUAACGUGGACCCGUAAUCCGGGUUGCGGACAGUGUCUGGUGGGUAGUUUGACUGGGGCGGUCUCCUCCUAAAGAGUAACGGAGGAGCACGAAGGUUGGCUAAUCCUGGUCGGACAUCAGGAGGUUAGUGCAAUGGCAUAAGCCAGCUUGACUGCGAGCGUGACGGCGCGAGCAGGUGCGAAAGCAGGUCAUAGUGAUCCGGUGGUUCUGAAUGGAAGGGCCAUCGCUCAACGGAUAAAAGGUACUCCGGGGAUAACAGGCUGAUACCGCCCAAGAGUUCAUAUCGACGGCGGUGUUUGGCACCUCGAUGUCGGCUCAUCACAUCCUGGGGCUGAAGUAGGUCCCAAGGGUAUGGCUGUUCGCCAUUUAAAGUGGUACGCGAGCUGGGUUUAGAACGUCGUGAGACAGUUCGGUCCCUAUCUGCCGUGGGCGCUGGAGAACUGAGGGGGGCUGCUCCUAGUACGAGAGGACCGGAGUGGACGCAUCACUGGUGUUCGGGUUGUCAUGCCAAUGGCACUGCCCGGUAGCUAAAUGCGGAAGAGAUAAGUGCUGAAAGCAUCUAAGCACGAAACUUGCCCCGAGAUGAGUUCUCCCUGAGACUUAGAGUCUCCUGAAGGAACGUUGAAGACGACGACGUUGAUAGGCCGGGUGUGUAAGCGCAGCGAUGCGUUGAGCUAACCGGUACUAAUGAACCGUGAGGCUUAACCUU